GACGAACGCUGGCGGCGUGCUUAACACAUGCGAGUCGUGCGGCAGCAUGCCCUUCGGGGUGAUGGCGAGCGGCGGACGGCUGAGUAACGCGUGGGAACGUGCCCCAAAGUGAGGGAUAACUGCUCGAAAGAGUAGCUAAUACCGCAUAUGGUCUUCGGAUUAAAGCUUCGGCGCUUUGGGAGCGGCCCGCGUCUGAUUAGAUAGUUGGUAGGGUAAUGGCCUACCAAGUCGACGAUCAGUAGCUGGUCUGAGAGGAUUAUCAGCCAGACUGGAACUGAGACACGGUCCAGACUCCUACGGGAGGCAGCAGUAAGGAAUCUUCCACAAUGGGGGCAACCCUGAUGGAGCAACGCCGCGUGAAGGAUGAAGGCCUUAGGGUUGUAAACUUCUUUUGUUAGCGAAGAAUAUGACGGUAACUAACGAAUAAGGGUCGGCUAACUACGUGCCAGCAGCCGCCGUAA
rnacentral:rRNA from 1 species